rnacentral:rRNA from 1 species
UACAGAGGUCCCAAGCGUUGUUCGGAUUCAUUGGGCGUAAAGGGUGCGUAGGCGGCGCGGUAAGUCGGGUGUGAAAUCUCGGGGCUUAACUCCGAAACUGCAUUCGAUACUGCCGUGCUUGAGGACUGGAGAGGAGACUGGAAUUUACGGUGUAGCGGUGAAAUGCGUAGAUAUCGUAAGGAAGACCAGUGCGAAGGCGGGUCUCUGGACAGUUCCUGACGCUGAGGCACGAAGGCCAGGGGAGCAAACGGG